AACGAACAUCGCGCCGCCGCACAGCGCACGUUUUCAAACCGGGAGCAAAAAUAUAACUGGAAAUGACGUCUGGGUGCGGGGGACAUUUCGGAGACUUCAUUUAGAGCUUUACGACAGCUUAUGCAAACUUCACUCCCCCUUCGCUUCCCCCUCGCGGUGCCCGACUGCUCUUUGGAGAACUGCCUCUCAAACCCAGCCCGACCCUCCCCAGCACGAGGUGAGGCACGAGGUGAGGCCGUCACCUCCCGUCCUAUGGCUGGUUACGAUAUUAACCCCAACGCUGUGGCUGCAGGAGCCACAUCAGUGCAAAGGAAGCCGGUUCCUUCUAAUUGCUGCAGCUCAAUUUACCCAAUCCUUCUUGCUCCUGGAGAGACUCGCAGACUGAGAACGUCUGUCUCCUGUCGCAUGGGAUGAGGCACUCAGCUCCCACCAUGUCCUCCCAUGGGCAGCACCAAGCCUGAAGUCUGCACGGCACAGCACUGACAUUCGAUGGAAGAAACAGAUCCACGGGAGCUCCAAAAACAGAAAGAAGUGUCUGCUCUUCCAGCACUCCGGCUUCCCUUAGAAAUGGAUUUUCAAAGCCACAGUGCCCGAGAGCCGACCUGGGGUCAUUUGUAGGCUUUUAUGAGCUUCUUAUUUGAAGUCUCGAAGCAUGAAUUCUUCCCUAAAUAAACUCACACCUCGCGAAAAUGUGCAGUUAGUGCUCCGGAACGUGGGCAGCUAAAAAUACAC
ensembl:lncRNA